AUUGAACGCUGGCGGCAGGCUUAACACAUGCAAGUCGAGCGGAGACUUCGGUCUUAGCGGCGAACGGGUGAGUAAUACCUAGGAAUCUGCCUAUUAGUGGGGGAUAACGAAUCGAAAGGUUCGCUAAUACCGCAUACGUCCUACGGGAGAAAGGGGGGAUCUUCGGACCUCUCGCUAAUAGAUGAGCCUAGGCCGGAUUAGCUAGUUGGUAGGGUAAAGGCCUACCAAGGCGACGAUCUGUAGCUGGUCUGAGAGGAUGGCCAGCCACACUGGAACUGAGACACGGUCCAGACUCCUACGGGAGGCAGCAGUGGGGAAUAUUGGACAAUGGGGGCAACCCUGAUCCAGCCAUGCCGCGUGUGUGAAGAAGGCCUCGGUUGUAAGACGACUUAAGUCGAGGAGGAGGUUAGUAGGUUAAGUACCUACUAGAAUUAGACGUUAC
rnacentral:rRNA from 1 species